rnacentral:rRNA from 1 species
CAGCCGCCGCGGGAAUACAGAGGAUGCAAGCGUUAAUCGGAUUUACUGGGCGUAAAGGGCGCGUAGGUGGUUAUUUAAGUGAGAUGUGAAAGCCCCGGGCUUAACCUGGGAACUGCAUCUUAUACUGGGUAACUGGAGUGCAGUAGAGGGUAGUGGAAUUUCCGGUGUAGCGGUGAAAUGCGUAGAUAUCGGAAGGAACACCAGUGGCGAAGGCGGCUACCUGGACUGAGACUGACACUGAGGCGCGAGAGCGUGGGGAGCAAACAGGAUUAGAUACCCCCGUAGUCCCUGUCUCUUAUAC